CCGAGCGGGGGGCUGGGCUGGGGCACGGGGGGUGUGCAGCGGAGCCGGGCUGUGGGAGCGGCCCGGCCCUUGCCGCUUGGCUGCCGCCGCCUCGGCUCUGCGGAGCUGCAGCCCUGUCCGCAGUGCAGCCCCGCGCCAGCUGGCCCCGCGCCAGGGCGAGGAGCGGCCGCGGGGCCUCCAGGCAGCACCUGCGCGGGGCGGCCGGGCCUGUCUGCCCGGGGGGGGCGGGGGGGAGGUGGAACGCCGCACCUCGCCUUGCACUGCCUGGCGGGGCCACAUCCUUGCUGUUGCUGCUUUACACCGCAGUAAAGCCUAGAAGCCCCGUGCCAGAGCCUGGGCGCCCACGUCCGGGAAAAGAGCCCCUGUCCCAACGUGCUUUGCACUCCAAACGCUUGGGGGAGACGACGGGUGGAUACGAGACACGCAGGGGCAUGCGGUGAGAGAGAAGUUCGUGGUCAGCAUUACAAACAGCUGUCAUGAAAAAUGAAUAAAGCAACAAAAACAGCAAUACAGCAGGUCAUGAAUAUGCCCGGAUGGAAAGGACCCUGGGGUUUCAGUUUUCCAGUCCUUCGCCCUGGACCUACUGCUGGAGAAAACGGCGGUUUUGCGGGCACUUUCCACGGUCCACCCUCCCUAGGCAACGGGGAAGAGCGGUGCGCGUCUGCCUGAAGCCCCCGGGGAACCUGAGACCCAGGAGGCAGGACCUGGACGUCUGAGUUUGUAUUUUCCCCUGCGAGGAUGAAUGGCAUCACUGACACUUAAAGGAGCUGAAGGCAAAUCUCUGUUCUGCAGGUUUAACUGCCUGUGAUACCAGUAACAGCAUCAAGGGAAGCACAGCCCCCAAAUUCAGGUCUUUGUGGCUAAGCCUAACACCCCCCCCCUUUUUUUUUUAAUGUAUUCAUCUGUAAUUGUAAAGUCUCUACACUUUGUCAUUUCCUGAAUGUGCCAGUGCCUUCGUUCAUCUUCAAAGGCCUUUCCAUUUGCCUACAGGAAUCGGAGCCUUGGGUGCUUACAGCUCGCUUGUCCCAGCAGUUCUGCACUCAGGGUGGGUAGCAAAGCAUCCUUUCCAGUGCUGGGAACAUGCAGCUUCCUCUCAGACAGUCUUGUUGGUGACAUCAGGACACCUUCUAGGGGCCACUGCACAUGCAUGUGCACACACACGCAUACCAUUUAUUAUGAUUUGCAAAUAUUGCACCCACCUGUGAACUGGAAAUGGAUGGUGACAACUAGACAUUGACUGAAACACCAAAUGCACUGUGGAGCCUGAGAGGGGAUGCCCAGGUCCUGUAGAAGUGUCUGCCAGGGGCCUAAAUAUAUGGCCAAUUAUAAAUGCUGGAUGAACUUUGACCUGUUUGCCACGGUUAUCUGGGAGGUCACAGGACUGGACCCAGUGGCUUGGAGGGUCCUUUCCAUUCCUAUGCUCCUAACUUGUGCAACUUGCUAGGUCAAUGAAGGACAUAGAUCUGACAAUAAAGCAAUAAUAAUA